AUUGAACGCUGGCGGCAGGCCUAACACAUGCAAGUCGAACGAGUGGCGGACGGGUGAGUAAUGUCUGGGAAACUGCCUGAUGGAGGGGGAUAACUACUGGAAACGGUAGCUAAUACCGCAUACCAUCAGAUGUGCCCAGAUGGGUUUAGCUUGUUGGUGGGGUAACGGCUCACAAAGGCGACGAUCCCUAGCUGGUCUGAGAGGAUGACCAGCCACCAUGGACAGAGGACACGGUCCAGACGCCUACGGGAGGCAGCAUUGGGGAAUAUUGCACAAGGGGCGCAAGCCUGAGGCAGCCAUGCCGCGUGUAUGAAGAAGGCCUUCGGGUGGUAAAGUACUUUCAGCGGGGAGGCGUUACCCGCAGAAGAAGCACCGGCUAACUCCGUGCCAGCAGCCGCGGUAAUUC
rnacentral:rRNA from 1 species